rfam:Tupaia chinensis contig105037, whole genome shotgun sequence.
AGCUUUGCGCAGUGGCAGUAUCGUAGCCAAUGAGGUUUAUCCGAGGUGCGAUUAUGGCUAAUUCUA